GAAACCCACGUGCAUAAGCACGUAUCCUUACCUGAAUACAUAGGGUAAGGAGGCGAACCGGGGGAACUGAAACAUCUAAGUACCCCGAGGAAAAGAAAUCAACCGAGAUUCCGAAAGUAGCGGCGAGCGAAAUUGGACUAGCCCUUAAGCUUUACACGCGUUAGACGAACGGUCUGGAAAGUCCGACGAUACAGGGUGAUAGUCCCGUAGUUGACGACGUGUGUUCAGUGAAAUCGAGUAGGGCGGGACACGUGAUAUCCUGUCUGAAUAUGGGGGGACCAUCCUCCAAGGCUAAAUACUACUGACUGACCGAUAGUGAACCAGUACCGUGAGGGAAAGGCGAAAAGAACCCCUGUGAGGGGAGUGAAAUAGAACCUGAAACCGUGUACGUACAAGCAGUAGGAGCAGGCUUUGUCCUGUGACUGCGUACCUUUUGUAUAAUGGGUCAGCGACUUAUAUUCAGUGGCAAGGUUAACCAUCUAGGGGAGCCGUAGGGAAACCGAGUCUUAACUGGGCGUUCAGUCUCUGGAUAUAGACCCGAAACCAGGUGAUCUAGCCAUGGGCAGGUUGAAGGUUGAGUAACAUCAACUGGAGGACCGAACCGACUAAUGUUGAAAAAUUAGCGGAUGACUUGUGGCUAGGGGUGAAAGGCCAAUCAAACCUGGAGAUAGCUGGUUCUCCCCGAAAGCUAUUUAGGUAGCGCCUCGGACGAAUACUACUGGGGGUAGAGCACUGUUAAGGCUAGGGGGUCAUCCCGACUUACCAACCCUUUGCAAACUCCGAAUACCAGUAAGUACUAUCCGGGAGACACACGGCGGGUGCUAACGUCCGUCGUGGAGAGGGAAACAACCCAGACCGCCAGCUAAGGUCCCAAAUUACUACUAAGUGGGAAACGAUGUGGGAAGGCUCAGACAGCCAGGAUGUUGGCUUAGAAGCAGCCAUCAUUUAAAGAAAGCGUAAUAGCUCACUGGUCGAGUCGGCCUGCGCGGAAGAUGUAACGGGGCUAAGUA
rnacentral:rRNA from 1 species